rnacentral:rRNA from 1 species
GACGAACGCUGGCGGCGUGCCUAAUACAUGCAAGUCGAACGCUGAAGGAGGAGCUUGCUUCUCUGGAUGAGUUGCGAACGGGUGAGUAACGCGUAGGUAACCUGCCUGGUAGCGGGGGAUAACUAUUGGAAACGAUAGCUAAUACCGCAUAAUAGUAGAUGUUGCAUGACAUUUGCUUAAAAGGUGCAAUUGCAUCACUACCAGAUGGACCUGCGUUGUAUUAGCUAGUUGGUGGGGUAACGGCUCACCAAGGCGACGAUACAUAGCCGACCUGAGAGGGUGAGCGGCCACACUGGGACUGAGACACGGCCCAGACGCCUACGGGAGGCAGCAGGAGGGAAUCUUCGGCAAUGGACGGAAGUCUGACCGAGCAACGCCGCGUGAGUGAAGAAGGUUGUCGGAUCGUAAAGCUCUGUUGUAAGAGAAGAACGAGUGUGAGAGUGGAAAGUUCACACUGUGACGGUAUCUGACCAGAAAGGGACGGCUAACUACGUG